rnacentral:misc_RNA from 1 species
AACGCACAUUGCGCCCUCUGGUAUUCCGGGGGGCAUGCCUGUUCGAGCGUCAUUUACACCCCUCAAGCUCAGCUUGGUAUUGGGUGGUCGUCCCCUCCGGGGGGCGCCCCCGAAAUGCAGCGGCGGUGCGGCCGGGUCCCCUAGCGCAGUGACUUUUACAAUUCUCGCUACAAGGAGCCCGUGUCCCGUUCCGGCCGGACAACACACAAAUUUUACCACGAUUGACCUCGGAUCAGGUAGGGAUACCCGCUGAACUUAA